rnacentral:rRNA from 1 species
CGAACGCUGGCGGCGUGCCUAAUACAUGCAAGUAGACCGUUGAGGAGAGGAGCUUGCUCUUCUUGGAUGAGUUGCGAACGGGUGAGUAACGCGUAGGUAACCUGCCUUGUAGCUUUGGAUAACUAUUGGAAACGAUAGCUAAUACCGCAUAACAAUGGAUGACACAUGUCAUUUAUUUGAAAGGGGCAAUUGCUCCACUACAAGAUGGACCUGCGUUGUAUUAGCUAGUAGGUGAGGUAACGGCUCACCUAGGCGACGAUACAUAGCCGACCUGAGAGGGUGAUCGGCCACACUGGGACUGAGACACGGCCCAGACUCCUACGGGAGGCAGCAGUAGGGAAUCUUCGGCAAUGGGGGCAACCCUGACCGAGCAACGCCGCGUGAGUGAAGAAGGUUUUCGGAUCGUAAAGCUCUGUUGUAAGUCAAGAACGAGUGUGAGAGUGGAAAGUUCACACUGUGACGGUAGCUUACCAGAAAGGGACGGCUAACUACGUGCCAGCAGCCGCGGUAAUACGUAGGUCCCGAGCGUUGUCCGGAUUUAUUGGGCGUAAAGCCGAGCGCGGGCGGUUUGAUAAGUCUGAAGUUAAAGGCUGUGGCUCAACCAUAGUUCGCUUUGGAAACUGUCCAACUUGAGUGCAGAAGGGGAGAGUGGAAUUCCAUGUGUACCGGCGAAAUGCGUAAAUAUAUGGAGGAACACCGGUGGCGAAAGCGACUCUCUGGUCUGUAACUGACGCUGAGGCUCGAAAGCGUGGGGAGCGAACAGGAUUAGAUACCCUGGUAGUCCACGCCGUAAACGAUGAGUGCUAGGUGUUGGAUCCUUUCCGGGAUUCAGUGCCGCAGCUAACGCAUUAAGCACUCCGCCUGGGGAGUACGACCGCAAGGUUGAAACUCAAAGGAAUUGACGGGGGCCCGCACAAGCGGUGGAGCAUGUGGUUUAAUUCGAAGCAACGCGAAGAACCUUACCAGGUCUUGACAUCCCGAUGCUAUUUCUAGAGAUAGAAAGUUACUUCGGUACAUCGGUGACAGGUGGUGCAUGGUUGUCGUCAGCUCGUGUCGUGAGAUGUUGGGUUAAGUCCCGCAACGAGCGCAACCCCUAUUGUUAGUUGCCAUCAUUCAGUUGGGCACUCUAGCGAGACUGCCGGUAAUAAACCGGAGGAAGGUGGGGAUGACGUCAAAUCAUCAUGCCCCUUAUGACCUGGGCUACACACGUGCUACAAUGGUUGGUACAACGAGUUGCGAGUCGGUGACGGCAAGCUAAUCUCUUAAAGCCAAUCUCAGUUCGGAUUGUAGGCUGCAACUCGCCUACAUGAAGUCGGAAUCGCUAGUAAUCGCGGAUCAGCACGCCGCGGUGAAUACGUUCCCGGGCCUUGUACACACCGCCCGUCACACCACGAGAGUUUGUAACACCCGAAGUCGAAAAGGUAACCUUUUGGAGCCAGCCGCCUA